GAUGAACGCUGGCGGCGUGCCUAAUACAUGCAAGUCGAGCGAACAGACGAGGAGCUUGCUCCUCUGACGUCAGCGGCGGACGGGUGAGUAACACGUGGAUAACCUACCUAUAAGACUGGGAUAACUUCGGGAAACCGGAGCUAAUACCGGAUAAUAUAUUGAACCGCAUGGUUCAAUAGUGAAAGACGGUUUUGCUGUCACUUAUAGAUGGAUCCGCGCCGCAUUAGCUAGUUGGUAAGGUAACGGCUUACCAAGGCAACGAUGCGUAGCCGACCUGAGAGGGUGAUCGGCCACACUGGAACUGAGACACGGUCCAGACUCCUACGGGAGGCAGCAGUAGGGAAUCUUCCGCAAUGGGCGAAAGCUUGACGGAGCAACGCCGCGUGAGUGAUGAAGGUCUUCGGAUCGUAAAACUCUGUUAUUAGGGAAGAACAAAUGUGUAAGUAACUAUGCACGCCUUGACGGUACCUAAUCAGAAAGCCACGGCUAACUACGUG
rnacentral:rRNA from 1 species